UGGCGUGUGAGGCCAGUUAUCCCGUGGCCGAAGGGGUCACUGCUGGAUUACUGACCGCGCUGUACAACGGGGUGGCGGUCAUCUUCUUCUUCUCGUUUAUGAUACCUCAAGUUGAUAUCCAGUACAUGAAUUGGGUCCUGGUAGCAGCAGUUGUUGUCAGCAUACCUCUCACCAUCAGCUAUAGGGAGAGUUACCAGAGACUUAGUCUAGACAGCCGCUGAUGAAGCCACAUCUCUCCGUCUUUCUGUCGGCAACUUACCCUCUGAUAUAGGGUCUUCGGCUAUCUUGAAUGAAUGGAUUGAAAAUAAACAAACCUGGAGACUUUUUUGGGUUCCAAGCAAAGUCUUAGCUACAGAACCUAUCUUCGUUUCCCACCAGGUUUUUCAACCGCAAACGCAUUUAAGCAGUCUAUAAAUUAAAGAUACAUUCAUUCUGUGUGCACAUAAACUAAGCUUCUCGCAGGCGAUGUUGCUAACUGACGAGAAGUGGAAUCGUCCUCAAAAUGCAACUAAAUGGUAAUAAUUGAUAACAAAUUAGGCCUUAUUAAUUGAAUACAUCGAUGAUUGUAAAAUGGAAAAUAAAGUUCAUUAAUGACUUGUUCA